UAUUUCAUUCAAAAAUAUCUUAAUAAUCUCCCCCUUGGCUAAGGAAAAAAUGCAAAAUAUACAUAUGCGAUUGAACAUAUUGACAAUUUGAAUAUUACCCUUAAUUAAAUUAAACAACAAUAUUCCAUAUACAUUUAACAAACUGAUGAACAUGAUGAUUUAUAAAUUAUGACUUUCUGUGAAAUUUUGUUUGCAACAACAACAAUGUAGAAAUAUAUAUUGCGUCAUUCAUUUUCUUUGUUUCAUUCUACGUCGUCUAUCUAACACAACACAAUGUAAUACAAGGUGUAUACAAAUAUCAAUAUCAAUUUCCUUCCGACGGAGAAUGCGAACUCUGUAUGAUCAACAUCAUCUAUCUAAUAUAUCACAAUAUAAUACAAAGUGUAUACAAAGUUAUUAAUAUCAAUUUCCUUUGACAUAAACAACGACGGAGAAUGAAAACUCUGUAUAGUAUGUACAUAUAUAUAAAUUCUAAUGGUUAGAUGAUAAAUAAAUGCUAUUUAAAAUUGUUGUGAAAUAAAUGCAAUAAAUGCGUUUUACACGUGCGUUGUUAUAUAAUGAAAGGAAACCGGAAAAAAAUUGAAAAUUCUCCAGAUAACCACUCCUCUAAAUAUAAUAUCACUUUUGAAGCAACUAGUUUCCCACUCACUUCAUCCGGGCGCAUGCAAAACAAAUCCUAAUAGUAAUCCUUCAAUAAAUGGCGCUAGACAGUUCAAUUUUAAGUCAGUUUAAUGUCAAAUUUUGUUGGAGUAAACAAUAAAUUGUCCUACAAUUCUUUAAAAACCAACAAGGAUAAUAUGGAUCAACAACAAUCGCAAUAACACUUUACAUCAUCACAACAGUAGGUGCUAGUCGGAGGACUUUCUAAAAAUGUGGAGAAUACUCAACCUCCAACAUAAGUGGUACGUUGGAGUAAUUGUGAAACCACUACCCUACCUAUUACAAGAAAUCUUCAAAAAAGUCGAGAAAUUAUUAAAAACUUGGUAAAUACUUUUAAAUUAACAGUGAAGAUGAAUUAUAAAAAAGGAUUGACGAUUUCUGACAGGUAGAAGGAAGCGUUUCCGACCCUAUAAGACAAAAUGGUAAAUCAGUGUGUCGAUUGUCAAGGUUUUCAGUAUAUUCCAAAUCUACUUCUAAAAGGUGACAAUUGAUUGAUCAUCUACGCAUGUAAAUCAAAAUUUUCUAACUAUUUCGUAUUUUUAUAUGGCAUAGCUUGUGGCAUGGCAUAUCAAUGUAAUUUAUUAACAGGAGUUGUAUAAUAUUGACAUGGAUUUAAAUUAUAGUUUUUUUAUAUACUUUUCUGAAAUUCUCGAAGAUAUCACAUAACAAAAGCACAUCAAUCUUUAAAUAUAACAAUAAAUAAUCUGAUAUAUUAUCAAAAUUA